rnacentral:rRNA from 1 species
UACGGAGGGUGCAAGCGUUAUCCGGAUUCACUGGGUUUAAAGGGUGCGUAGGCGGGACGGUAAGUCCGAGGUGAAAUCUCUGAGCUUAACUCAGAAACUGCCGUGGAUACUAUUUGCCUUGAAUAUUGUGGAGGUGAGCGGAAUAUGUCAUGUAGCGGUGAAAUGCUUAGAUAUGACAUAGAACACCAAUUGCGAAGGCAGCUCACUACACAAUGAUUGACGCUGAGGCACGAAAGCGUGGGGAUCAAACAGG